UUUACAUCAAUGGAAAUCAGAUCUUCCCGACCUUUUCUAAUGAAGACCUCAUGAUCACCAGCACUGGAGUAGAGUUACUGUUGAAGAUCCUGCCAUUAAGCAAACAGUGAUGUUUAAGUCCCUUAUGUUCAGUGUAACCCUGCCAGACUCCCUAUUCCACAACAACACAGAGGGGCAGUGUGGUACCUGUGACAAUAUCAGGAAAAACGAUUGCAGAUUACCGAAUGGACAGAUUGACCCAUCAUGUCCUGGGAUGGCUCAUGAAUGGAAGAUUCCUGAUGAUAAAAAACCCUACUGUAAACGGCAACCACUACCCACUACCCCUACGCCUACAACCUGCCCGUCAGGAAAGACAUCAAUCUGUGACAUCAUACUUAGCCCGGUCUUUAAGCAAUGCCAUGACGUAUCCCACACAACCCUUCUUCAGGCCUGUAGUUUGAUGUCUGCCACAUGCCAAAUAUCUCA